ensembl:snRNA U6 U6 spliceosomal RNA
GUGCUCGCUUUGGCAGCACAUAUACUAAAAUUGGAACAAUACAGAGAAGAUUAGCAUGGUCCCUGUGCAAAGAUGACAUGCAAAUUCAUGAAGUGUUUCAUGUAUUU